ACACACUUGUUACUUGGAAGUGUGAUGUAAGGCUCAGCACCACCCUCUUUAUUUGGUAUAAAUACGAGAGCACGAAGCUUCUGUCUCAUCCACAAACUUGCAUCCUUCACAAGACGUCUUUUAAAGAAGGCAUUUUUGCUACCUGCUUCUUCAGUUACUUGUUAAGAACAAGAUGACCAGUAUAUGUGAAGUUGGUGGAACGGGAGGAAACCCUUUCAAUUUUAAUGGCAUUGAAACUGGAACCUUGUUGAAAAGGAUCCAGGUUUGGGAAGGUGAUUCUCAGAUAAAAGCCGUGAUGGUGUGGCUUACUGAUGACCGGUCAGGACAGUUUGGUGUUAUGGCUGGGAGUCAGCGGGAGUUUACAUUUGAAAAAGAUGAGAUAUUCGCCUCCCUUUCACUUUGGCCGAGUCAAGAUGGUACACAUCUCGGUGCCAUCAAAUUCAAGACAAGUAUUGGGAAUCAGUUCUAUGCAAGCAUGAAAAGUGGUACGCUGCAAGCAGAAGUAAAAGUUGAUGUUGCCACUGGGAAAUGCAUUGGAAUCCAAGGACGUUCUGGGGCUGCCAUUAAUUCCUUCGGCUUCAUCAUGGUCAAGAAGCCAUCUGCUUAGCUUACCAAUGUGGUGCAUCCCACCGUUUCUAUAGUCUCACCCAAAGUGACUAAUCACCCAAAUCUCAUAUAUUAAAUCAUUUGAAUCAGUAAUGUUUGUGUUUGAGGUUAUCUUAGUUUGAUUGUUUUUCAUAUUAGCUUUUCAUUAAUCAUGAUUCUUUUGUUUGAUUUUUUUCUCCAAACCUGUUAACCAAUAAAAAAAGUGAUUUGAUUUAUUUUGUUGGUUCAGACAAUUUAUUCUGCUAGUCUACCAGUGGUGAAAGACUAAGACACAGUUUAGUUUAAGGAAACAUUCUUUACAAAUAAUUCUGAGUAAUGAACAAAACAUCUCAUUUGGUGAUUUUUAGAUCUAGUUCGACUGUAGCUUUGUGUAACAAUUUGAUUAUUUUCUUUUGAAAUUUUCAGAUUAUAAUCUGUUAUAAUUUCCAUCAAUAAAAACAGUCUCAAUUGAAA